CAGGGCUGAUGGCACGUUGAAUGUACUAGUUCCCAAUGAACCACUGAAGUUAGGCAACGUUGUGCGUGGUUGGUAUUCAGAUGGGUGACCGUCUGGGUAAUCGCGUACUGCUCCGA
rnacentral:rRNA from 1 species